rnacentral:lncRNA from 1 species
CGGGGCCGGGUGGGGCUGAGAAGAACCGCUGUGGGCGCAAGCGACGUCUCGUGUUUCCUGCGGAGACGAUGGCGCUGGGGGAUGAGACAGCGACGGUCGGGUGCUAAGCGGCUCCGACGGGACAUCCGAACGGGCGGCGAGAGACGGGUGUCAACGGAGACCCUGGUGCGGCCGACGUGGCGUCUGAUUCGGGGGGCGGCGGGGUGGACAAGUGGGACUGGAACGCUUCCGUCAGCCCCACUCGCGCGCGAGCUGGCAGGGGGGCCGGAACAGCCUGUAAACAGCUGUCUUCAAGCUCCCCCCCGCCACCACCCGCUGGCCUGCUUCGCUUCUCUUCUCCACCUAAUCCAUUAAUGCGGUUCUCUCUCUCCCCGCACAGCUAGCUCUGCAAGGCUGAUAAGAUUCUUUCCCUUUAAUCUGCCCUCCCCUAUGGUUGCCUUUCUCCAUUAUUCUUGGAUUCUUACGGUUCUUCCUGCCCACUCAGUACCAGUUCGAGGUGCUCGCCGCCGCGCCAAUCCACACGUCGCCCUCACGCUUCUCCAUGGAUUCCCCCGCCCCACGCUUCCCAGACCGACGGCUGUUCCAGCCUGGGUCGUCCUCCUCCCCCUUCCCCUGAAGCUGUAGCUCCAGAGGGGGCGACCCUUAAAGCCCUCGUCUCUAUCUUGAUCUUGUUCCUCGUCCCGGCCGCGGUCUGUGAACCCUAAUUCUGUCAGAGGGAAGACGAUAAGGGAAGAGAGAGCNNNNNN